rnacentral:lncRNA from 1 species
AUGAGCGCCUGCGGGCCGGCGGGACGCGGGCGGUCUCCCUGGCGACCAGGGCGCGGCCCCGCCCCCGCCCGAGCCUCCCGCGCGGCCGAGCGCAGGCUCCAGAGGCGGCCGCGGGGUGUGCGCGCCGCCAGCGAUGGGCAAGUGGAGCCUGGCGCGGAAGCCCGGCCGCACGCUCGGGGUCCUGCUGCUGCUGCUCCUGGGCUUGCUGGUGCUCCGCAGGUUGGACUGGUAUCAUCUGGUCCCCGUGUGGCUGAGAAACCGGCAGUCAGGGCUGCAGGCCAACGGCCCGCGCUUCACAUUGGAGGACUCCACUUUCUGGAUCUUGGGGGGCUCCGUGCACUACUUCCGGGUGCCCCGGGAAUACUGGAGGGACCGCUUGCUGAAGCUGAAGGCCUGUGGCCUGAACACCCUCACCACUUACGUUCCAUGGAACCUGCACGAGCCAGAAAGAGGCAAAUUCGACUUCUCCGGGAACCUGGACAUGGAGUAAGUGCUCUUGCUGCUUCUCAGCCUCGCCCGGGGUGGGGAGGCAGAGCGGUGGCUCCUUGGGGUUGAUGACGACCACGGGGCCCGUCGUGGUUCUGCUUGGAGGAGCAGAGAGAGGCUGGGCUCAGGAGCCUCGUCCUCAGGACCAGGCGCGGGCAGCCGUGACCCUGUUGCUCGCGGGGUCGGGGUCUGCGUCCUGAGCCCAGGUCUCUUCACCGCACCCCAGAGGGGCCCAAUCCCCAGGGUCGG